rnacentral:rRNA from 1 species
GUGGGAGGACUACCAUGCAGUCGAGCGGUAGCACAGAGAGCUUGCUCUCGGGUGACGAGCGGCGGACGGGUGAGUAAUGUCUGGGAAACUGCCUGAUGGAGGGGGAUAACUACUGGAAACGGUAGCUAAUACCGCAUAACGUCGCAAGACCAAAGUGGGGGACCUUCGGGCCUCAUGCCAUCAGAUGUGCCCAGAUGGGAUUAGCUAGUAGGUGGGGUAAUGGCUCACCUAGGCGACGAUCCCUAGCUGGUCUGAGAGGAUGACCAGCCACACUGGAACUGAGACACGGUCCAGACUCCUACGGGAGGCAGCAGUGGGGAAUAUUGCACAAUGGGCGCAAGCCUGAUGCAGCCAUGCCGCGUGUAUGAAGAAGGCCUUCGGGUUGUAAAGUACUUUCAGCGAGGAGGAAGGCAUUAAGGUUAAUAACCUUGGUGAUUGACGUUACUCGCAGAAGAAGCACCGGCUAACUCCGUGCCAGCAGCCGCGGUAAUACGGAGGGUGCAAGCGUUAAUCGGAAUUACUGGGCGUAAAGCGCACGCAGGCGGUCUGUCAAGUCGGAUGUGAAAUCCCCGGGCUCAACCUGGGAACUGCAUUCGAAACUGGCAGGCUAGAGUCUUGUAGAGGGGGGUAGAAUUCCAGGUGUAGCGGUGAAAUGCGUAGAGAUCUGGAGGAAUACCGGUGGCGAAGGCGGCCCCCUGGACAAAGACUGACGCUCAGGUGCGAAAGCGUGGGGAGCAAACAGGAUUAGAUACCCUGGUAGUCCACGCCGUAAACGAUGUCGACUUGGAGGUUGUGCCCUUGAGGCGUGGCUUCCGGAGCUAACGCGUUAAGUCGACCGCCUGGGGAGUACGGCCGCAAGGUAAAACUCAAAUGAAUUGACGGGGGCCCGCACAAGCGGUGGAACAUGUGGUUAAUUCGAUGCACGCGAAAACCUUACU